rnacentral:rRNA from 1 species
GACGAACGCUGGCGGCGUGCCUAAUACAUGCAAGUUGAGCGCUGAAGGUUGGUGCUUGUACCAACUGGAUGAGCAGCGAACGGGUGAGUAACGCGUGGGGAAUCUGCCUUUGAGCGGGGGACAACAUUUGGAAACGAAUGCUAAUACCGCAUAAAAACUUUAAACACAAGUUUUAAGUUUGAAAGAUGCAAUUGCAUCACUCAAAGAUGAUCCCGCGUUGUAUUAGCUAGUUGGUGAGGUAAAGGCUCACCAAGGCGAUGAUACAUAGCCGACCUGAGAGGGUGAUUGGCCACAUUGGGAGUGAGACACGGCCCAAACUCCUACGGGAGGCAGCAGGAGGGAAUCUUCGGCAAUGGACGAAAGUCUGACCGAGCAACGCCGAGUGAGUGAAGAAGGGUGUCGGAUCGUAAAACUCGGUUGGUAGAGAAGAACGUUGGUGAGAGUGGAAAGCUCAUCAAGUGACGGUAACUACCCAGAAAGGGACGGCUAACUACGUG